UCGAGAAUCUUCGGCAAUGGGCGAAAGCCUGACCGAGCGAUGCCGCGUGCGGGAUGAAGGCCUUCGGGUUGUAAACCGCUGUCGUAGGGGAGAAAGGGUCGUUGAAGAAACGACUUUGAUCUAUCCUAGGAGGAAGUCCGGGCUAAGUUCGUGCCAGCAGCCGCGGUAACACGAACCGGACAAACGUUAUUCGGAAUUACUGGGCUUAAAGGGUGCGUAGGCGGUGCGGUAAGUGCGGUGUGAAAUCCCACGGCUCAACCGUGGAAUUGCGCUGCAUACUGCCGUGCUAGAGGGAGACAGGGGUAAGCGGAACUGAUGGUGGAGCGGUGAAAUGCGUUGAUAUCAUCAGGAACACCGGUGGCGAAAGCGGCUUACUGGGUCUCUUCUGACGCUGAGGCACGAAAGCUAGGGUAGCGAACGGGAUUAGAUACCCCUGUAGUCCCUGAGCGGGCUGGCAAGGCGCAU
rnacentral:rRNA from 1 species